UGCCAGCAGCCGCGGUAAUACGGAGGGUGCAAGCGUUAUCCGGAUUUAUUGGGUUUAAAGGGUGCGCAGGCGGAAUAUUAAGUCAGUGGUGAAAUCUCUCGGCUCAACCGAGAAACUGCCAUUGAUACUGGUAUUCUUGAAUAUAGUUGAAGUUAGCGGAAUGUAACAUGUAGCGGUGAAAUGCAUAGAUAUGUUACAGAACACCAAUUGCGAAGGCAGCUAACUAAGCUAUUAUUGACGCUCAGGCACGAAAGCGUGGGGAGCAAACAGGAUUAGAUA
rnacentral:rRNA from 1 species